rnacentral:rRNA from 1 species
AGCGAACGCUGGCGGCAGGCCUAAUACAUGCAAGUCGAACGGACCCUUCGGGGUUAGUGGCGGACGGGUGAGUAACACGUGGGAACGUGCCUUUUGGUUCGGAACAAGCCGGGGAAACCUGGUCUAAUGCCGAAUGUGCCCUUCGGGGGAAAGAUUUAUCGCCAUUAGAGCGGCCCGCGUCUGAUUAGCUAGUUGGUGAGGUAAAGGCCCACCAAGGCUACGAUCAGUAGCUGGUCUGAGAGGAUGAUCAGCCACACUGGGACUGAGACACGGCCCA